rnacentral:rRNA from 1 species
UACGUAGGGUGCAAGCGUUGUCCGGAAUUAUUGGGCGUAAAGAGCUCGUAGGCGGUUCGUCGCGUCGGCUGUGAAAACCCGAGGCUCAACCUCGGGCCUGCAGUCGAUACGGGCGGACUGGAGUUCGGCAGGGGAGACUGGAAUUCCUGGUGUAGCGGUGAAAUGCGUAGAUAUUGGGAGGAACACCGGUGGCGAAGGCGGCCCCCUGGACCGGUACUGACGCUGAGGCGCGAAAGCGUGGGUAGCAAACGGG